rnacentral:rRNA from 1 species
UACGUAGGGGGCGAGCGUUGUCCGGAUUUAUUGGGCGUAAAGAGCUCGUAGGCGGUUCGGUAAGUCAGGUGUAAAAACUCCAGGCUCAACUUGGAGAGGCCACCUGAUACUGCCGUGACUAGAGUCCGGUAGAGGAGCACGGAAUUCCUGGUGUAGCGGUGAAAUGCGCAGAUAUCAGGAAGAACACCCGUGGCGAAGGCGGCUCUCUGGGACGGUACUGACGCUGAGACGCGAAAGCGUGGGGAGCGAACAGG